rnacentral:lncRNA from 1 species
AGCAACUGUUGCAGCUAAUGGCAAAGCUAAUAUUAUUUGCGAAAAUGAAAAACCAGAUGAACUUGAAGUUGUAAAAGAAGGUGCUGACCUUGUCAAAUGUCUACCUUUGAUAAAAAAUCGGAGAUUUAGGAAGAGGAAGACUCAUCUCUCUAGAUUGCAUUCUCACCGGCUUAAGGAAACAACUAAAGAAUCAUAUUUGUCUGCUAAUGGCAAAGCUAAUAUUAUUUGCGAAAAUGAAAAACCAGAUGAACUUGAAGUUGUAAAAGAAGGUGCCGACCUUGUCAAAUGUCUACCUUUGAUAAAAAACCGGAGAUUUAGGAAGAGGAAGACUCAUCUCUCUAGAUUGCAUUCUGACCAGCUUAAGGAAACAACUAAAGAAUCAUAUUUGUCUGC